rnacentral:tRNA from 1 species
AAGAAUUUAAGUUAAACUAAACUGUUAGCCUUCAAAGCCAAAAAUAGAAACAAAUUUCUAAUUCUUA